GACAGAGGGUGCAAACGUUGCUCGGAAUCACUGGGCGUAAAGGGCGCGUAGGCGGGAAUGUAAGUCGGGCGUGAAAUCCCCAGGCUCAACCUGGGAACUGCACUCGAAACUGCGUUUCUUGAGUAUCGGAGAGGAAAGCGGAAUUCCUGGUGUAGAGGUGAAAUUCGUAGAUAUCAGGAGGAACACCAGCGGCGGAAGGGCG
rnacentral:rRNA from 1 species